AUUGAACGCUGGCGGCAGGCUUAACACAUGCAAGUCGAGCGGGGAAGGGUAGCUCGCUACCUAACCUAGCGGCGGACGGGUGAGUAAUGCUUAGGAAUCUGCCAUUUAGUGGGGGACAACAUUCCGAAAGGAAUGCUAAUACCGCAUACGUCCUACGGGAGAAAGCAGGGGAUCUUCGGACCUUGCGCUAAAUGAUGAGCCUAAGUCGGAUUAGCUAGUUGGUGGGGUAAAGGCCUACCAAGGCGACGAUCUGUAGCGGGUCUGAGAGGAUGAUCCGCCACACUGGGACUGAGACACGGCCCAGACUCCUACGGGAGGCAGCAGUGGGGAAUAUUGGACAAUGGGCGGAAGCCUGAUCCAGCCAUGCCGCGUGUGUGAAGAAGGCCUUAUGGUUGUAAAGCACUUUAAGCGAGGAGGAGGCUACUUAGAUUAAUACUCUAGGAUAGUGGACGUUACUCGCAGAAUAAGCACCGGCUAACUCUGUGCCAGCCGCCGCCGUAAAAC
rnacentral:rRNA from 1 species